rnacentral:lncRNA from 1 species
AAAAGGAAGGGAGAAAGGGAAGAGAGAAUGGAAGGAAGAAUGAAAGGAAAGAGAAAGAAAAUGAAGAGAGAAAGAAAACUAUAGUAUGCAACAGAAAAUUAAAAUUCACUUAAAAAAAAAAAAACUCAACAUACUGAAGAACUCUGAUGCCAUCAGAAUAUCAGCAAAUAAGAGGAACAUUGAGGGGGCAAAAAACACCCAGAAGAUAAACACACUGAAAUAGUAUCAGAAGCAGCAACAGAUGCAAUGCCAGAGAUACAAUCAAAUAGAUUAUAUAUAUAUAUAUAUAUAUAUAUAUAUAUUCCAGGAAGUCAAGGGGAAGAGAAAGGAAGAAGGAAGAAUCACAAUAGGAGUUAAAAGAAGAAUUAAAUGCAAUUUUAAAAAAAUCUCUGGAGGAAUUAAGUUGAUAACUGAUUGAAUCUAAAAUAUUCAAGAGUAAAUGAUGACAAAACUGGGAAUAAAAUGGAAAAUAGCACAGUGUGAUUUUGAGAUCAAUAAUUGCAGCUAAAAGCAAGAUUAAUAUAAUAGAAGUCAGGAUGGCAGAUAAUGCAGCUGAAAUGGAAAAAUAAGCUCAGAAAAUAACUAGGAAAACAUUUGGAAGCACUACAGUGAAGAUGACAGAUUUGGAAGAAAGAUCAAGGGGAUGAAAUCAGUGUGGGGAUUAAAGAGACAGUGUGGUAGGAAAAACUGCAUUGGAAUGGGAGGCUGGGGGUCUGUCCUCUGCCUUGAUCUGUCUGCCUCUUAACAAUGUGAACUCAGCGAAGUCACUCCUCAGCCUCUGGACUUCAGUUUUCUUAGCUCUAAAAUAAAGCAUUUCCACUAGAAGAUGGUGGUAUGACUGUCAGAGUUGUCCUUCCACCUUAUGGAUCAGAGUCCUGCUUGUUCUAGAAUAAGCUUUGUCUGUCACAGGUUUUAUAAUAAGGCUGUUUGUUCUGGAAUGACCUAGGAUGACAAACAAAGACAAGACUUCUAGGCAAUGUGAGCCUGACAGAUCUCUGGAUCUGUCUAUCACCUUAUAGAGAGGUCAUUUAUUCUAGGUUAUAAAAGGGGAAGAUGCUUUUGGCGUGAUAGAUCAUUCCAGAGGACAGGCCCAUAGUCUGUAGAUUAACACUUACAGCUUUGGAACAGGAGUCCAGGAUCUAGGAAAGUAACUAUACAAAAAAAAAAAAUGGCAUCAUCCAAAUUGACCAGUUCCUGAACAGCCACUGAUUUCCUCUCAGCCAUCACCCAGCUACCAUAGUCCCUAAGACUUACCCCUGAUUCUUCCCUUUUGUCACUUGAAUGCUGAUAAGAAUAACAAAUGUUUUUGUGUACUACAACUUUUUUAAAAAUUUCAAUUCAAUUGUAAAACAAUUAUCUCUAAGAUUCCUAGAGACUGGGGGCAGCUUGGUACCUCAGUGAGGAAGACUUAAUCUUCAAACAAUUAUUAUCCUAAUUAUAAUCUGUGUGAUACUAGACAAAUUUAUCCUGUUUGCCUCAUUUUUCUAACAGUACAGUGAGCUGGAAGAGAAAAUCAUAAACCAUUCCAGUAUCUUUGCCAAGAAAACCCCAAAUGGGGCCAUGAAGAGUUGGAGACGAUAGAAAAUUAUUCAACAACAACAAAAAGCUCUGUUGUCCAAUAAUUCUAAGAAACCUCAGAAUUAUUGGAAUUCUAGAAAAAAUAGAAGAAAAAUAAUUUGAUAAUGCUAUUUCAGCAAAUUGUAUGAGAAUAUUUUCCCAAACAUUCUUUCUAUGUUUUUUUCUACCUCUCUCUCUCCCUCCCUUUCUCUGUCUCUGUCUCUCUGUCUCUCUUCUCCUUUCAAGUCCACUACUCCUUCCCUUCCUUCUUCUCCCUUUCCUUUCCUUUUCCUCAUCCCCUUUUCCUCUCUUUCUAUUACUAUCUCUUCUCUCUUUUAUCACUCUUCAACUCUUUGUUAUCCCUACUCAUCUUUCUCUUUUCCUCUUUUCCCCCUCCUCUGAAUUUCUUUUUUAUUCUUUUAUGAAACGUAACUGUAUUAUUAUCCCAAUUUUACAAAUGAGGAAACUGAGGCAAUUAUCCAUUAAGUGUUUUGCCCAAAGUCAUACAACAUAGGCAAGUGAGGGUAGAUUUAAUUUAAGCCUUCCUGACUCCAGGCUCAGAAUUCUAUCCAGUGAGUCAUGUAGAGGUAUGAUUGAUCUUUCCUCUACAGCUCACAUCUGUCUAGUUUUUCCAGUUCACAUGGCCAUCAGACUAGUUCUAUAUUUCAUCAACUCCUGCAUGUAGACUCUUGUAAUAGACUCAUACAAAUAUCUCUUCUUUCAAUCUCUAACCCACACCUUCCUCUGCAUUCUACCCCAUCCAUCCUCCAUAUAGUUGCCG